UCCUACGGGAGGCAGCAGUGGGGAAUAUUGCACAAUGGGGGAAACCCUGAUGCAGCAACGCCGCGUGAGUGAAGAAGUAUUUCGGUAUGUAAAGCCCUAUCAGCAGGGAAGAAAAUGACGGUACCUGACUAAGAAGCCCCGGCUAACUACGUGCCAGCAGCCGCGGUAAUACGUAGGGGGCAAGCGUUAUCCGGAUUUACUGGGUGUAAAGGGAGCGUAGACGGCGGCGCAAGUCCGGAGUGAAAGCCCACGGCCCAACCGUGGGACUGCUAUGGAAACUGUGCGGC
rnacentral:rRNA from 1 species